rnacentral:rRNA from 1 species
UACGAAGGUGGCAAGCGUUACUCGGAAUUACCAGGCGUAAAGGGCAGGUAGGUGGUCUGGUAAGUCUGUUGUGAAAGCUCCUUGCUUAACGGGGAGAGGUCAACAGAUACUGCCAGGCUUGAGUCUAGGAGAGGGUACUGGAAUUCCCGGUGUAGCGGUGAAAUGCGCAGAGAUCGGGAGGAACACCAAUGGCGAAAGCAGGUACCUGGACUAGUACUGACACUCAGCUGCGAAAGCUAGGGGAGCAAACAGG